rnacentral:lncRNA from 1 species
GAAUAAGUCUGAUCUGGGUCUGUACCGCUGUGAACUGUUUAACGGGACCAACUGCAGAAUCGCUUAUCAGGAGAUAUAUCUGAGUAAGACGUCUGCAGGACAUACUGCUGCUGUAGGUUUAUCAACAGUGCUGAUCACAGCAGCAGCAGCUCUAGGAGGAGGAAUUGUGCUGAUUAGUCUGCUGAUUAUCACUUGGUUCUGCUCAAAACGUAUCAAAAAUACUCGUGAGGAGAUUGCCUGCAAUAAUUUACAUAAUAACAACCCAGAUCACACUUCAGACCUAUACACACUUCAAAAUCCAAUAUAUGAAACAAACAGCCGUGCAGAAAAAGAGGAAGGAAAUUCUUCUAAUACUACAGUCUACGCCAUCGUCAAUAAAGACAGAAGAGCAGUUUACUGAACUGGGAGGAAACAGAUCCAGCCGGGUUCUAUAAAACAAGUUCUGACUGAGAUGUAUUUUUGUUAGCAUCAAUUAAACAUUUAAAGGUAUCUAUAAAUAGAAGGCAUGCAAUUAAUAUUUGCCAAGGAAAUGAUGUGCCUUUUGGUUUUGUCUGCGGGGAUGUUAAAAAGUUAAUUUUUUUUUUUUUAUUGUGGUGUUGUAAUUGCUUUUUCUUUCAAAAGUAAGACUAUUUUGUUUAUGCAAAAAAGUGAAAAUUUUGAAUUAAUGAAAUCCUGGCAAAUACUGUACUUAAAUACUGUACUGGACUAAUUUAUUUAUUUAUUUAUUAAAGUCAUAUUGUGCUUCGUUAAUGUGUGUCUCCU